UCCCAGUUCGGAUUGUAGUCUGCAACCCGACUACAUGAAGCUGGAAUCGCUAGUAAUCGCGGAUCAGCAAGCCGCGGUGAAUACGUUCCCGGGCCUUGUACACACCGCCCGUCACACCAUGAGAGUCGGGAACACCCGAAGUCCGUAGUCUAACCGCAAGGGGGGCGCGGCCGAAGGUGGGUCCGGUAAUUGGGGUGAAGUCGUAACAAGGUACC
rnacentral:rRNA from 1 species